rnacentral:rRNA from 1 species
UGGUACUCAGUUGAACACCAAAGGCGCAAAAAACAUAACUUGAAACUGUGCGGGAUUACGGGCGAGACUCUCUGCUCGUCCCUCCAUCCCCGGGUGUUAUACCAGGCAUGCCGGGGGCCUCGCGCCCUCGGUGCCAUAACAUACCGCGAGUGUGCAGGAUGUGACCCGAAAGAUGGUGAACUAUGCCUGAUCAGGUUGAAGUCAGGGGAAACCCUGAUGGAGGACCGAAGCAGUUCUGACGUGCAAAUCGAUUGUCAGAAUUGGGCAUAGGGGCGAAAGACCAAUCGAACCAUCUAGUAGCUGGUUCCUUCCGA